AGGUAUUGCAUAAUGGUAGUGCCCUUGCCUUCCAAGCAAGAGGCGGGAGUUCGAUUCUCCCUACCUG
rnacentral:ncRNA from 13 species